rnacentral:rRNA from 1 species
GGAUUAGGCAUGCAAGUUGAACGCUCUCUUCGGAGAGAGUGGCGAAAGGGUGAGUAACGCGUGAGUGAUCUGCCCCCAAGACCGGAACAACUGUUGGAAACGGCAGCUAAUACCGGAUGUGAUUACGAGGUUGCAUGACUUUGUGAUUAAAGAUUUAUCGCUUGGGGAUGAGCUCGCGUCCCAUUACGCUUGUUGGUAAGGUAACGGCUUACCAAGGCUGUAACGGGUAGGUGGUCUGAGAGGAUGGUCACCCACACUGGGACUGAGACACUGCCCAGACUCCUGCGGGAGGCUGCAGUCGAGAAUCUUCCGCAAUGCGCGAAAGCGUGACGGAGCAAUGCCGCGUGAGGGAUGAAGGCUUUCGGGUCGUAAACCUCUGUCAGAAGGGAAAAACAUUGAUGGUACCUUCAGAGGAAGCCACGGCUAACUACGUGCCAGCAGCCGCGGUAAUACGUAGGUGGCGAGCGUUAUUCGGAUUUACUGGGCGUAAAGGGUCCGUAGGGGGACACUUAAGUCUGAUGUGAAAUUUCAAGGCUCAACCUUGAACGUGCAUUGGAAACUGAGUGUCUGGAAUUCGGUAGAGGUAAGUGGAAUUUGUGGUGUAGCGGUGGAAUGCGUAGAUAUCACAAGGAACACCAAAGGCGAAAGCAGCUUACUG